AACGAACGCUGGCGGCAGGCCUAACACAUGCAAGUCGAACGCUCGUAGCAAUACGAGAGUGGCAGACGGGUGAGUAACACGUGGGAACCUUCCCUAUGGUUCGGAAUAGCUCAGGGAAACUUGGGGUAAUACCGGAUAAGCCCUUCGGGGGAAAGAUUUAUCGCCAUUGGAUGGGCCCGCGUCGGAUUAGCUAGUUGGUGAGGUAACGGCUCACCAAGGCAACGAUCCGUAGCUGGUCUGAGAGGAUGAUCAGCCACACUGGGACUGAGACACGGCCCAGACUCCUACGGGAGGCAGCAGUGGGGAAUUUUGGACAAUGGGCGAAAGGCCUGAUCCAGCCAUGCCGCGUGUGUGAAGAAGGCCUU
rnacentral:rRNA from 1 species